AAUCAGCAACAACAGUAACCAUAAUAAAAGCUGAAAAAGAAGAAGAAAACAAGAUCCACCUCGAACACCCCUCCCCCUCCACCACCAUCCCCAAGCCAGCAAAACCGCCCCCAAUAUUCGUUCCUCCUUCUCCACAUUCAAUCUAUCUCUCUACACAAUCAAAUCAAUCUUCUUACAGUUAGAAAGAGAAAUAAAUCCAUCUUACCAAUUAUAUCCUUGGGAUUUUUUUCUCCCAUCCUGAUCCACCAUUGACCCUCCUUUCCUGAUUGACUUGUAUAUAUCUGUCUAUGUAGUCUUGCUUCUGGUUAUUGAUUCCGUUUAUCAAUUACAAACCCCACAAAUAAAUCUCGAAAGGCCAAAAAUUACUACCCAACCCAAAGAAAGAAAGAAAGAAAGAAGUUGUUAGUGUUGAUCGAGAAGAAGAAUGAGGGAAGACGAGGACUCCAAUUGGUUCUCAAGAUGGGAAGAACAACUCCCAUCCCCCGAAGAGCUGAUGCCGUUGACCCAGACCCUAAUUUCCCCUGAUCUCGCCAUCGCUUUUGAUAUUCCCAACACUCCACCACCACCACCACCGCCGCCUCAGCCCCCCUCUUCCCAACCCAACUCCUCCGCCGAAUUCGAUUCCACCGAUUUGGGUGCUGGCGCUGAUGAGCCCGCACGCACCCUCAAGCGCCCCCGCCUCGUGUGGACGCCCCAACUCCACAAGAGGUUCGUUGAUGCUGUAGCCCACUUGGGGAUCAAGAACGCCGUCCCCAAGACCAUAAUGCAGCUCAUGAGUGUAGAUGGCUUAACUCGCGAGAACGUGGCCAGUCAUCUCCAGAAAUACCGCCUUUACUUGAAGCGUAUGCAGGGUCUCUCCGGCGGUGGCGGAGGUGCCGGUGGGGGAUUGGGGCCCCCAGCCGAUCCCGCCACCGAUCAUUUGUUCGCCAGCUCGCCGGUGCCCGCUCAUUUCUUGCAUCCGGGUCGCCCCAAUUCAGAGCAUUUCUUGCCUUUUGUGCCUGUGGCGACGUUGCAGCACCACCAUCAGCAGAUGGCGGCGGCGGCGGCGGCUGUGGCUGGACAUCCGCAGAUGCAGAUGCAGUAUCGUCAGGUGGGGCAUUUUGGGUCCCCACCAAAUGGGCAGUUUGAGCAUCCAUUUCUGACAAGGCAGUCGCAGCAGGUUCAUCGAAUGGGAGCACCACUGCAUAAUAAUUAUGUAGAGGACUUAGAAUCGGCAACAGCAGCAAAUGGGAGGAAAGUUCUUACUUUAUUUCCAACUGGGGAUGAUUGAAUUUGGGUAAACGUGUGGAGUACAAUUCUGCUGAGCGCUAUCUAGAAAUCUAAGAAUUGGGACUCGGCAUGAUGCGUGGAAUGGAUGGCUUACUUGGUACUGUCUUUUUCGGCAAUUUCCUGGAAAUCUCCUGUCCUGUGUAGAAAUCAAUUAUAGUGUUUCUGCAUUAAGCUUUAUGUAGAGAAACUCGUUGAUGCUCUCUUGCUGACCAAAAAGAUGAAAACUUGGAAUGUAUGUUUCAAGUGGCUGCAAUUUGGAUUGCUGGGGGCAGUAGCAAGCAUUCUAAGUAUUCUCCUUAUCCUGAGUUCAAGGUUUUGUAUUAUAUGGUGAGGCUAUUCUUCUAGUUUUAAACGUAAUGGUGAUGGGGUUGUAUGUUAGUUGACAAUCUUUAUUUGUCAUUCAGUGUUCACUAAA